rnacentral:rRNA from 1 species
AAGGGCCGCGGUAUUCUGACUGUGCGAAGGUAGCAUAAUCAUUAGGUUUUUAAUUGGGAUCUUGUAUGAAUGAUUGGACAAAAGAAAUACUGUCUUUGUAUUAGAGUUUGAAUUUAACUUUUAAGUGAAAAGGCUUAAAUGUUCUAAAGGGACGAUAAGACCCUAUAAAGCUUUACAUUAAUAAUUAGAUAUUAUUUAUUUUUUUUAAUAACAAUUAUAUUUAGUUUUUUGUUGUAUUGGGGAGAUAUAGGCUAUAAUUUAUAUAGUAACUGCUUAAUAGAAAGUCAGUAAUUAAUGAGAGAUUAGUAGAUCCUUUUUAAAGAUUAAAAGAUUAAGUUACUUUAGGGAUAACAGCGUUAUUUUUUUUAAGAGUUCAUAUCGAAAAAGAAGAUUGCGACCUCGAUGUUGAAUUAAAAUAUCUUUAUAAUGUAGGUGUUAUAUGAGAAGGUCUGUUCGACCUUUAAUUUUUUACGUGAUC